rnacentral:rRNA from 1 species
UACGGGGGGGGGUAAGCGUUGUUCGGAAUUACUGGGCGUAAAGGGCUCGUAGGCGGCCAACUAAGUCAGACGUGAAAUCCCUCAGCUUAACUGGGGAACUGCGUCUGAUACUGGAUGGCUUGGAUUCGGGAGAGGAAUGCGGAAUUCCAGGUGUAGCGGUGAAAUGCGUAGAUAUCUGGAGGAACACCGGUGGCGAAGGCGGCAUUCUGGACCGACACUGACGCUGAGGAGCGAAAGCCAGGGGAGCAAACGGG